UCUUGCGCAAUGGGCGAAAGCCUGACGCAGCCAUGCCGCGUGAAUGAUGAAGGUCAUAGGAUUGUAAAAUUCAAUCACCGGGUACGAUAAUGACGGUACACGGAGAAGAAGCCCCGGCGAACUUCGCGCCAGCAGCCGCGGUAACACGAAGGGGGCUAGCGUUGCUCGGAAUUACUGGGCGUAAAGGUCGCGUAGGCGGACAUUUAAGUAAGGGGUGAAGUCCCAGGGCUCAACUCUGGAACUGCCUUUGAUACUGGGUGUCUUGAGUGUGAGAGAGGUAUGUGGAACUCCGAGUGUAGAGGUGAAAUUCGUAGAUAUUCGGAAGAACACCAGUGGCGAAGGCGACAUACUGGCUCAUUACUGACGCUGAGGCGCGAAAGCGUGGGGAGCAAACA
rnacentral:rRNA from 1 species